GACGAACCGUGCGAACGUUAUUCGGAAUCACUGGGCUUAAAGGGCGCGUAGGCGGGCCGCAUAGCCAAGGGUGAAAUCCUCCGGCUCAACCGGAGAAGGGCCUUUGGUACUGGCGGCCUCGAGGGGUGCAGGGGCGUGCGGAACUCAGGGUGGAGCGGUGAAAUGCGUAGAUAUCCUGAGGAACACCGGUGGCGAAGGCGGCACGCUGGACACCUUCUGACGCUGAGGCGCGAAAGCCAGGGGAGCAAACGGG
rnacentral:rRNA from 1 species